rnacentral:tRNA from 9 species
CGGGCUAUUAGCUCAGUGGUAGAGCGCGCCCCUGAUAAUUGCCGGGCGAGGUCUCUGGUUCAAGUCCAGGAUGGCCC